UAUGUGAUCGUCUCUCGCAUAUCAAUAAGCGGAGGAAAAGAAACUAACAAGGAUUCCCCUAGUAACGGCGAGUGAAGCGGGAAGAGCUCAAAUUUGAAAUCUUAAAGGGUUUCCCUUUACGAAUUGUAGUCUAAAGAAGUGUUUUCUGUUGAGGUUUUGGUAAAAGUUCUUUGGAAUAGGACAUCAUAGAGGGUGAGAGUCCCGUAUUUGACCUUUACUUUCAACUUUGUGAUACACUUUCAAAGAGUCGGAUUGUUUGGGAAUGCAGUCCAAAAUGGGUGGUAAAUUUCAUCUAAAGCUAAAUAUUGGCGAGAGACCGAUAGCGAACAAGUACCGUGAGGGAAAGAUGAAAAGAACUUUGAAAAGAGAGUUAAACAGUACGUGAAAUUGUCAAAAGGGAAGCGUUUGACACCAGUGUUGUUUUUCUGAAAAUCAAUUAAAGAACUGUUUAUGCUAAGCUGUUAGACUUUAUCAGCUAUCUGUUUAGUUUUGAGCUUUUCUUUAAUGCACUUUUCAGUUAACAAGUCAACAUCAAUUUCUUUUGCUGUAAAAAAGCUUGAGGAAGGUGGCUUGAGAUUCGUCUUAAGUGUUUAUAGCCUCUUGCCUAUGCAGUCGGAGAGAUUGAGGUCUGCAGCGUAGAUCCUUCGGGGCUAAAUGCAUUUGUGCUAAGUUAUAGCAUUUUAUAGACAACUUGUUGACUAUGAUUUGUCUUGUAGCUUACUCGCUUAUGUUAUUUUACCUACGCUUAGGAUGUUGAAGACUCUACAGAGAUA
rnacentral:rRNA from 1 species